UACGAAGGGGGCUAGCGUUGUUCGGAUUUACUGGGCGUAAAGCGCACGUAGGCGGAUUGUUAAGUCAGGGGUGAAAUCCUGGAGCUCAACUCCAGAACUGCCUUUGAUACUGGCAACCUAGAGGCUGGAAGAGGUUAGUGGAAUUCCCAGUGUAGAGGUGAAAUUCGUAGAUAUUGGGAAGAACACCAGUGGCGAAGGCGGCUAACUGGUCCAGAUCUGACGCUGAGGUGCGAAAGCGUGGGGAGCAAACAGG
rnacentral:rRNA from 1 species